GAGAAACAAAAAUCGGAAGUAAUAAUAAGCGGGUUGCUUUAAAGGAGGAGAAGAGCAACAAAGUUGGUUGCCACACCAUCCACCCCAACAAUAGCUCGGCGAGCCCAUCCAACGGUGUGGUGACGAACAACAAUUAGAAGAGACAAGAA
ensembl:ncRNA C09D8.4 ncRNA